AUCCUUUUGUAGUUCACAGCAUGAUGACUGGGUUUUUACGUUCAUGUGUGAGAUGUGCCCCUUCAAACCUUUUUACGAUAUGUGGUGGAUUUUUAAGACA
rfam:Macaca mulatta chromosome 4, whole genome shotgun sequence.